GACGUAGGGCGCGAGCGUUGUCCGGAUUUAUUGGGCGUAAAGGGUGCGUAGGUGGCGGGGUAAGUCAGGUGUGAAAUCUCGGGGCUCAACCCCGAAACUGCACUUGAUACUGCCUUGCUCGAGUACUGGAGAGGAGAUUGGAAUUUACGGUGUAGCAGUGAAAUGCGUAGAUAUCGUAAGGAAGACCAGUGGCGAAGGCGAAUCUCUGGACAGUUACUGACACUGAGGCACGAAGGCCAGGGGAGCAAACGGG
rnacentral:rRNA from 1 species